rnacentral:rRNA from 1 species
UACGUAGGGGGCGAGCGUUAUCCGGAAUUACUGGGCGUAAAGCGCACGCAGGCGGUUCGCCAAGUUUGGAGUGACAGUUGUCGGCUCAACCGACAAAGGACUUCAAAAACUGGUGAACUUGAGGACGAGAGAGGAACAUGGAACUCCAGGUGUAGUAGUGAAAUGCGUAGGUAUCUGGAAGAACACCAAUGGCGAAGGCAAUGUUCUGGCUCGUUUCUGACGCUCAGGUGCGAAAGCCAGGGGAGCGAACGGG